GUGCCAGCCGCCGCGGUAAUACGGAGGGGGCAAGCGUUGUUCGGAUUUACUGGGCGUAAAGGGUCCGUAGGCGGUUGUGUAAGUCUGGUGUGAAAUCUUCGCCGCUUAACGGGAAGCAGCCACUGGAAACUGCAUAACUUGAGUCUGGUAGAGGCAAGCGGAAUUCCUGGUGUAGCGGUGGAAUGUGUAGAUAUCAGGAAGAACAUCUGUGGCGAAGGCGGCUUGCUGGGCCAGUACUGACGCUGAGGGACGAAAGCGUGGGGAGCAAACGGGAUUAGAUACCCUCGUAGUCC
rnacentral:rRNA from 1 species